rnacentral:rRNA from 1 species
AGUGAACGCUGGCGGUAGGCCUAACACAUGCAAGCCGAACGGCAGCACAGGAGAGCUUGUUCUCUGGGUGGCGAGUGGCGGACGGGUGAGGAAUACAUCGGAAUCUACUCUGUCGUGGGGGAUAACGUAGGGAAACUUACGCUAAUACCGCAUACGACCUACGGGUGAAAGCAGGGGACCUUCGGGCCUUGCGCGAUUGAAUGAGCCGAUGGCGGAUUAGCUAGUUGGCGGGGUAAAGGCCCACCAAGGCGACGAUCCGUAGCUGGUCUAAUAGGAUUGUCAGCGACACUGGAACUGAGACACGUACCAGACUCCUACGGGAGGCAGCAGUGGGGAAUAUUGGACACUGGGCGCAAGCCUGGUCCAGCCAUACCUCGUGGGUGAAGAAGGCCUUCGGGUUGUAAAGCCCUUUUGUUGGGAAAGAAAUCCAGCUGGCUAAUACCCGGUUGGGAUGACGGUACCCAAAGAAUAAGCACCGGCUAACUUCGUGCCAGCCGCCGCAGUAA